CAAAUUAAGGACAGAUUACAAGCAGCCUGGGAACCAGGCUCCGUCACCACAGGGGGCCGCCUACUCAGCCUCCUUCUGUUCAGCCAUCGGAAAGAUGCAGCUGCUAAGCCAGCCGGGUGCUGGGCUGCUCUCCCCCUGCCUCUCCUGAUCCCUCGGAGGGAGUUGAGAAGUCCCUUUCUCCAUCAGUCUCUGGUUAUCAAUAUCCACCUCAAAAAGUUGUUGUGAGGAUCAAGUUUAAAUAAAGCACAUUAAGUGGCCACUCACAUAGCAGGUAAGGUAGCAAUUUUUCUUUUAACCAUUGUAUGAGGUUGAGGAAUGGUACUUCAAAUGGGUCUUGGAGCUGGAAACUUAAAAUUCAUUGAAAACUGUGCCUUGUCAUAUAUUUGAUUUUUGUAUUUAUUUCAAUUUUCCAUAUCUCUUAAGUAUAUGGCAACGUGGUUUUUUUUUCUU
rnacentral:lncRNA from 1 species